rnacentral:lncRNA from 1 species
CGACGAGCCACGCCCGGUAGCGCCGGUGCCACUCGCCGGCCUCGACCGUGCCCACGGCGGCAAAGACCCGCUCGGCAUCGCGCCCCUCGGUCUCGAACGCGUGCGACCACUUGCGCAGCGCGUCGGUGGCGGCCUCCUUGGCCGCCCUGCGCGCGUCGCGUCCUUUGUCGCGCUCGGCGUCGCGCUUGCGGUCUCUUCUGCCCUUGGCGUCGUCGUUGUCCUUGUUAUCGCGGCCGCGGUGGUCGUCGUGCUUGCGGGACCCCUUGCGCUCUUGGCUCUUCUUUGAGCGGUGGCGCGAGGCCUUGGCCACGAGCGGCGCCUCCCAUGGGAGGCCCAUGCAAAUGCCGUUGGUCGGAUUGACGCGCGCCAGAUCGGCCGUGACGUCGUCGAUGAAGCCGCGCGCGGCCUCGUCCUCGCUCGCGGCGCCGCCGCCGCCAUCCGACGAGUCGGUCCACGGCCCGGCCCGGAUGUCGCUGUCGCUGUGGGCCUUGGCGCCGUGCCGGCGGCGGCGCCCGCGCUGCUCCUUCUUUUGCUUGGGCAUCGCUUUUCCUUUUUUCCCCUUUGACGCGCGACCUUCUUCUUUCCUGCGCCGACGCCGACACGGCGGUCCCGCCGCUUUGCCCUCUCGCCGCCCGCUUCCGUGCGCGGCACCGGCCUCCCUGUCUCCCC